rnacentral:lncRNA from 1 species
AAAGAUUGAGAAAUCGGAUGGUUGCCGUGUCUGUGUAGAAAGAAGUAGACAUGGGAGACUUUUCAUUUUGUUCUGUACUAAGAAAAAUUCUUCUGCCUUGGGAUCCUGUUGAUCUGUGACCUUACUCCCAACCCUGUGCUCACUGAAACAUGUGCUGUGUCCACUCAGGGUUAAAUGGAUUAAGGGCGGUGCAAGAUGUGCUUUGUUAAACAGAUGCUUGAAGGCAGCAUGCUCGUUAAGAGUCAUCACCACUCCCUAAUCUCAAGUACCCAGGGACACAAACACUGCGGAAGGCCGCAGGGUCCUCUGCCUAGGAAAACCAGAGACCUUUGUUCACUUGUUUAUCUGCUGACCUUCCCUCCACUAUUGUCCUAUGACCCUGCCAAUUCCCCCUCUGUGAGAAACACCCAAGAAUGAUCAAUAAAAAUAAAAUAAAAUAAAAUAAAAUAAAGACUAGGUGAACAGCAAGUUUUAAGUGCCUCCUGGCUUUUAGAUUCCUAAAAGGGCCCCUAAAGAAUAGUUUCUUACAAAGAAGUAAAAUCCUUUUUGUAAUUAAUUGGUUCAUUAAUGUGUUCCCUAUAGAUGUAGUGACAAAUAUCAGGGAUGUUAAACCCCAUUGUUUUAAGUGGCCCAGCAGACUUGGCCUAUUUUGUCAACCUAUGCAUAAGAUAAGUCCUCCUUUCACAGUCUUCAAAUUAAGACCCUAGCUUGACAAGCCAUUCUUUGCCAAACACUCUACUUUUCGUCUGGUGUGACUUACAGUUUAUAUGCCUAGAUAGCUAAUACUAAUUGUGCCAGGUAUGAAACUAAACACUUGCCAUUUAAUGACAUGCAACAUUCCUAGGAGUUAGUUGCUAUUGUCACCCCACUUCACAAAUGAGGAACUUGUGCUUAGCUCAAGCAGAUGCAACUUGUUAAGACGCAGAAUUGGGAUUUGAAUCUAACAGCAAAGUCCAAUUUAGAAAGUUGCCCCUAAGCUACAAACCUGUACAGCAUGUUACUCAACUGAAUACUGUAGACAGUUGUGACACAAUGGUAAGGAUUUAGGAAUCUAAACAUAGCAAAGAUACAGUAAAAAUAAGGUCUUAUAAUCUUAUGGGACCACUGUCAUAUAUGUGGUCUGCUGUUAAUGGAAACAUCAUUGUGUGAUGUAUGACUGUAAAUAUACGGACACAUAUGCAUUGCAUGCACAUACACAGAAACAUGCACAUCAUAGUUAAUCCCUAAAAAUCAACUGAUUCUAUGAUCUCAAAUCUCUAUAGUACUAUACCAAUUAUGCUCUUUUGAAAAACAAACAUAGCUUGCAGACCCGUUCCUACCCCUGUUCGGAAAUGAUUAAGCUGAGCAGGGGCCAUGGGAAUUUUAUUUUGAGGGUC